AUCCUCCAUGCCCCCAACUUGAUUGUGAGAGGGUAUCGACGGUCGGUUGCUUUAUACACAACCAGAGAUGCCAGUGUUUCUGCGUCGAGGAGGAAGACGCAUGUGAAUAUAUUGUUCGCAAAAACGUGAUGGCAUGUCGUCCUGAGCAGAUUUUGCAUUGCAUAUCUGAUAAUAAUGCGUGCAAAUGUCGCUGCGUUCAAAAGUCAUGAGGAGAAAGCAAUCAAGAGAUACAUCAAAUAUAUCCAUCGAUGAAGGCCUACAUUUUUUAUGUAAUACUGAAUAAAACAUUGAAUAUUGUCUGAAAUGGAA